rnacentral:rRNA from 1 species
AGUGAACGCUGGCGGUAGGCCUAACACAUGCAAGUCGAACGAGUGGCGGACGGGUGAGGAAUACAGCGGAAUCUGCUCAGUCGGGGGGGAUAACGAAGGGAAACCUUGGCUAAUACCGCAUAAGAUGGAAUGAGCCCAUGUCGGAUUAGCUAGUUGGAGGGGUAAAGGCCAACCAAGGCGACGAUGCGUAGCUGGUCUGAGAGGAUGAUCAGCCACACUGGAACUGAGACACGGUCCAGACUCCUACGGGAGGCAGCAGUGGGGAAUAUUGGACAAUGGGCGCAAGCCUGAUCCAGCCAUGCCGCGUGUGUGAAGAAGGCUUUCGGGUUGUAAAGCACUGUUGUUGGGAAAGCGGUACCCAAAGAAUAAGCACCGGCUAACUUCGUGCCAGCAGCCGCGGUAAUUC